GCAGCCGUAGCUCAACUGGAUAGAGCACCUGACUACGAAUCAGGAGGUUCGGGGUUCGAAUCCCUGCGGCUGUGCCA
rnacentral:tRNA from 1 species